rnacentral:rRNA from 1 species
AUUGAACGCUGGCGGCAUGCUUUACACAUGCAAGUCGAACGGUAACAGGCCUUCGGGUGCUGACGAGUGGCGAACUGGUGAGUAAUGCAUCGGAACGUGCCCAGAGGUGGGGGAUAACGCAGCGAAAGCUGUGCUAAUACCGCAUGUGAUCUGAGGAUGAAAGCGGGGGACCAGGCAGCAAUGUUUGGCCUCGCGCCUUUGGAGCGGCCGAUGUCAGAUUAGGUAGUUGGUGGGGUAAAGGCCUACCAAGCCGACGAUCUGUAGCUGGUCUGAGAGGACGACCAGCCACACUGGGACUGAGACACGGCCCAGACUCCUACGGGAGGCAGCAGUGGGGAAUUUUGGACAAUGGGCGCAAGCCUGAUCCAGCAAUGCCGCGUGCGGGAAGAAGGCCUUCGGGUUGUAAACCGCUUUUGUACGGAACGAAAAGGCUCUGGCUAAUACCUGGGGCUGAUGACGGUACCGUAAGAAUAAGCACCGGCUAACUACGUG